UACGUAGGGUGCAAGCGUUGUCCGGAAUUAUUGGGCGUAAAGAGCUCGUAGGCGGUUUGUUGCGUCGGCUGUGAAAACCUGAGGCUCAACCUCAGGCCUGCAGUCGAUACGAGCAGACUAGAGUGUUGCAGGGGAGACUGGAAUUCCUGGUGUAGCGGUGAAAUGCGCAGAUAUCAGGAGGAACACCGGUGGCGAAGGCGGGUCUCUGGGCCAUAACUGACGCUGAGAAGCGAAAGCAUGGGGAGCGAACAGG
rnacentral:rRNA from 1 species